rnacentral:lncRNA from 1 species
AAGAAGUUACUUAUGUAGAUUUGGUUAAAGAGUUUUAUCUGAAUCUGUGCUAUGGCAAUGGAACAGUAACUUCUACUGUUAAGAGAAUUGAUAUCUGCUUAGAUCCUAUUAUUUUGGGAGAGAUUCUUCAUUUGCCCUGUGAGGGAUAUUCAAACAUGGAACUUCCAGUGAAGGAAGAAGGGAUCAAUGUGAUUUUAGGAGGAACCUACUCGGGAAGCCUAAAUAAAUUAGAAGCCAAGAUCCUGUCAAUUGAAAUGAGAAUUCUACAUCAAUUGGUAACAAAGCUUUUCUUCCC